GCCUGUAGUCCCAGCUACUUGGGAGGCUGAGGUAAAUCGCUUGAGCCCAGGAGUUCUGGGCAGUACUGCAGUAUGCUGAUCAGGUGUCCUCAGCAUCAAUAUGGUGACCUCCCAUAACAAAGGAGCACCAGGUUGCCUAAGUAGGAGUGAACUGGCCCAGGUUAGAAAUGGAGCAGGUCAAAACUCCUAUGUUCAUCAAUAGUAGGAUCACGACUGUCCCAAUGUUUUCCGAGGCCAAGACAGGAGGAUCACUUGAGGCAAGUUCAAGACUGCUUGGGCAACAUAGAGACCUCAUCUCU
rnacentral:SRP_RNA from 1 species